CCUCUCUCAGGACAACAGCUGGAGAAUUUCCAGCACUCUCCCAGUCUUGGCUACUGGAGGGAGAGUCAAGCAGAGGCCUACCCGUUCCAUUCCUAGUUUGGGCAGCGACUAGCAAGUGGAAGGCCAUCUGCUACAAGU